AAACUGAUGGAGCCGUUUUUGGAUGAUGGGAGAAAUGUCACAACGGACAAUUUCUUUACUUCACUGUCACUGUCGCACAGACUGCUGCAGCGCAAAACAACGUUACUGGGCACGGUGAAUAAAGUCCGGCGUGAACUUCCUCAACUUGCAAAAGAUACUGCAAAGCGAGAGUUCCAUGCACCAAGACGUGACGAUCGGUGACGGCAGAAAGAGGAAACCCAACACGAUAACAGACUAUAACCACAUGAAGUGUGGUGUAGACGUGUUGGACCAAAUGGCAUGGAUGUAUUCCG